UUGUUCCCUAAAUAGGGACUUGUAUGAACGGCCACACGAGGGCUUUACUGUCUCUUACUUCCAAUCCGUGAAAUUGACCUUCCUGUGAAGAGGCAGGAAUACAACAAUAAGACGAGAAGACCCUAUGGAGCUUUAAUUAACCGACCCAAAGAGAUCCCACAUCCAACCAACAGGGGCAACAAACCUCCAAUGGGUCGACAAUUUAGGUUGGGGUGACCUCGGAGAAUAAAACAACCUCCGAGUGAUUUAAAUCUAGACUGACCAGUCAAAAGUAUUACAUCACUUAUUGAUCCAAAAGCUUGAUCAACGGAACAAGUUACCCUAGGGAUAACAGCGCAAUCCUAUUUUAGAGUCCAUAUCGACAAUAGGGUUUACGAC
rnacentral:rRNA from 1 species